CCGGUGCACUCCGUGUGGAUGCUCCUCUUGAAUGAACCGGAGUCCCAAAGAUGUAAAGAAUAACGCGGCAGCAGUAAGGAAACGCUCUCGAGCCGCGAAUCGUUCAAAGAGCCCGUCUGUGGAAAGGGAACGCUGUUUUGGGAACGAUGCUGGUUUGAUUUGCUCUGUUGCGCUUGUGUUCGUGUGGAUCGGGAUACCGAUUCGUUUUUAUAAGCGCUCUUAGCAGUGACAGCUGGCCACGCCCCCACGGUGGCUACGUCACUCGCGUCACGACGUCAUUGUCGGGAACUGCUGGGACGGUAAACAAGCCCGAGGGCGAAGCGAACAUCAUUAUAGAAACGGUUUAGGGACAUAUUCUAAUAAAUAUCUAGUCUGAUAUCAUUUCUGCUAAAAUGUUAGUGCCUCUAACAUUGGAUUUAUCAGGUUGACAUGGGUACGAGCCAGUAAUAAUAAUGUAAGCUGAUCCUCCUUGUGAGAGAGAUCUGCCUGAGGCCUGAUCACGUUUACGGAGAACAGGCGUCUGGUUGGUCACGUGACUCACGUUCACCUCUGGUGUCAGGGCCAAUCAGGGGUCAGCGAGCGCAGACAAUGGCAGGUCUCCCCUCAGACUCGACCGUGUCUCUGCGUCAGCAGAAAAACACAAGAUGUUUGCUGGAGAGGCGCUGAAGAGCCAGCAGUCAGCAGAAAAACAAGGGCCGGCGGCCAACCAGACAGAUGGAGGCUUACAGAGGUCCACAGAGCCAGCGCUUCACUCAAACUCACACACAGAAGAGCAUUUGUAAGAUUGUAAGGACAGAAAUACACUGACCUGUCGUGACCACACAAAGACAGCAAUUAACAGCCUGUUAAUGAUGAGUAAUGUCCAUCUCACCAGCUAUUUCUGUGCAGAAUAGUCCACGUUUAUCCUCAGCAAGCUGUUUUAAAUGAA